rnacentral:tRNA from 1 species
GCCCCAGAGGGCACCGCUCUCCUAAAGCGGGUGUCGCAUGUUCGAAUCACGCCGGGGGCA